rnacentral:rRNA from 1 species
GAACGCUGGCGGCGUGCUUAAUACAUGCAAGUCGAGCGAGCUACUCGGUAGCGAGCGGCGCACGGGUGAGUAACGCGUAGAUGAUCUACCCUCGAGACUGAGAUACCUCCGGGAAACUGGAGUUAAUACCAGAUAACGCACAUCAGUUGGUUCAGAUGUGUUAAAGCGGUGCAAGUCGCACUUGAGGAUGAGUCUGCGGCCUAUCAGCUAGUUGGUGGGGUAACGGCCUACCAAGGCGAAGACGGGUAGCUGACCUGAGAGGGUGACCGGCCACAUUGGGACUGAGACACGGCCCAAACUCCUACGGGAGGCAGCAGUGGGGAAUAUUGCACAAUGGGCGAAAGCCUGAUGCAGCCGACGCCGCGUGAGCGAAGAAGUAUUUCGGUAUGUAAAGCUCUAUCAGCAGGGAAGAUAAUGACGGUACCUGACUAAGAAGCACCGGCUAAAUACGUGCCAGCCGCCGC